rnacentral:rRNA from 1 species
UACAGAGGUCCCAAGCGUUGUUCGGAUUCACUGGGCGUAAAGGGUGCGUAGGCGGUUGGGUAAGUCUGAUGUGAAAUCUCACAGCUUAACUGUGAAACUGCAUUGGAUACUAUCCGGCUAGAGGAAUGGAGGGGAGACUGGAAAUACUUGGUGUAGCAGUGAAAUGCGUAGAUAUCAAGUGGAACACCAGUGGCGAAGGCGAGUCUCUGGACAUUUCCUGACGCUGAGGCACGAAAGCCAGGGGAGCAAACGGG